rnacentral:rRNA from 1 species
AGAGUUUGAUCCUGGCUCAGGAUGAACGCUGGUGGCGUGCCUAAUACAUGCAAGUCGAACGAAACUUCUUUAUCACCGAGUGCUUGCACUCACCGAUAAAGAGUUGAGUGGCGAACGGGUGAGUAACACGUGGGCAACCUGCCCAAAAGAGGGGGAUAACACUUGGAAACAGGUGCUAAUACCGCAUAACCAUAGUUACCGCAUGGUAACUAUGUAAAAGGUGGCUAUGCUACCGCUUUUGGAUGGGCCUGCGGCGCAUUAGCUAGUUGGUGAGGUAAAGGCUUACCAAGGCAAUGAUGCGUAGCCGAACUGAGAGGUUGAUCGGCCACAUUGGGACUGAGACACGGCCCAAACUCCUACGGGAGGCAGCAGUAGGGAAUCUUCCACAAUGGGCGAAAGCCUGAUGGAGCAACGCCGCGUGGGUGAAGAAGGUCUUCGGAUCGUAAAACCCUUUUGUAAGAGAAGAACGUGUGUGAGAGUGGAAAGUUCACACAGUGACGGUAACUUACCAGAAAGGGACGGCUAACUACGUGCCAGCAGCCGCGGUAAUACGUAGGUCCCGAGCGUUGUCCGGAUUUAUUGGGCGUAAAGCGAGCGCAGGCGGUUUAAUAAGUCUGAAGUUAAAGGCAGUGGCUUAACCAUUGUUCGCUUUGGAAACUGUUAGACUUGAGUGCAGAAGGGGAGAGUGGAAUUCCAUGUGUAGCGGUGAAAUGCGUAGAUAUAUGGAGGAACACCGGUGGCGAAAGCGGCUCUCUGGUCUGUAACUGACGCUGAGGCUCGAAAGCGUGGGGAGCAAACAGGAUUAGAUACCCUGGUAGUCCACGCCGUAAACGAUGAGUGCUAGGUGUUAGGCCCUUUCCGGGGCUUAGUGCCGCAGCUAACGCAUUAAGCACUCCGCCUGGGGAGUACGACCGCAAGGUUGAAACUCAAAGGAAUUGACGGGGGCCCGCACAAGCGGUGGAGCAUGUGGUUUAAUUCGAAGCAACGCGAAGAACCUUACCAGGUCUUGACAUCCCGAUGCUAUUCCUAGAGAUAGGAAGUUUCUUCGGAACAUCGGUGACAGGUGGUGCAUGGUUGUCGUCAGCUCGUGUCGUGAGAUGUUGGGUUAAGUCCCGCAACGAGCGCAACCCUUACCUUUAGUUGCUACGCAAGAGCACUCUAAAGGGACUGCCGUUGACAAAACGGAGGAAGGUGGGGAUGACGUCAAAUCAUCAUGCCCCUUAUGACCCGGGCUACACACGUACUACAAUGGCAAUUAACAAAGAGGAGCGAAACCGCGAGGCGGAGCAAAUCUCAAAAAAUUGUCUCAGUUCGGAUUGCAGGCUGAAACUCGCCUGCAUGAAGUCGGAAUUGCUAGUAAUCGCGGAUCAGCACGCCGCGGUGAAUACGUUCACGGGCCUUGCACUCACCGCCCGUCA